AUCAAAUAUCAGAAAUGGAGAGAGUAGUUACUUUUAUUUUCUAUUUUUGAGAGACCAGAAAGAGAAUCUCAGGGAGUACGAGUGGAAGUGCAAAGUCCCAUAAAUAAUAUGUAAAUGUCCCUAUCAAAUUUGACACAGUUUCGUUUCACGCUGAAGAUAAAAUUAAAACCAGAGGCAGUGAGUCAAUCUUAAGCAUUUAUAUAGCUCUAAUAAAAAUAUUAAUAUAUGGCUUAGAUGCUAAGCUGUUAAUUUGUCUUUAGGCAGUAAAUAGAGAAACAGAGCACAGAACAGAAGACAACAGUCCUGGGAUUCCGGACGUUAGACCAGAGAUGCCCAAGACCACUACUGAAAGCAGAUAUUCAGCUCUACUAUGUUUGACCACACAAACCACACUUCAAUUUCUUACUUUAUCACUUCCAUUACUAUCACCAUUUUUAUUAGUAUUCACUUCCAAUUUAAACCAACCUCAACCAUAAUUUCAGUAGUAACUCUUACCAACUCAACAUACAUAAAGGUAGAUUCCUUAUACAUACUCUUGAACUUGUCUCAAGGAAGAAUAAGUUAGGAAAAACAGAAACAAGACUAUGGAACCUUCUACAUCAUCAGAAAAGCAGGCACCAAAAGGUAGAGUUUUGAAGGAGAAAAGAGCAAAGUUUUACAUUAUUCGAAGAUGCAUAGUCAUGCUUCUCUGUUGGAAAGAUAAAGGAGACAAGUAAUACCGCUGUUCUGUUCUGCUUAAAGAUGACAAGAGAAGCACUGCAAGAUGACCAACCAGCCUACGAAUGUCAAAAGCAACGUAUAAAGAAGGCUUUUUCUUUCACCUAACCAGUGAAUGUGAAACUGUUGUUGAUCUACUAGGAUUCUUUUUUUCUUUCAGUAAGUUUAUAGUUUUUUAAUACAAAACCAAUACAUCUGUAAUAGUAGCUAUAGAGAAUGAAUCAGUGGUUUUACCCACAAACACAAGCACGGGCAAAGAAACAAGAAGGUAGAAGUGAAAGAUGAAACCUAGAACGAAAAGGAAAUAUAGACCACAGCUUAGCUCAAAUUACUCUCACAUUAUAUUCUCUAUACAUAUAACAUGUUGGCUUAUGGAGA